GACGAACGCUGGCGGCGUGCUUAACACAUGCAAGUCGAACGGAAAGGCCUGCUUUCCCUUGUGGAUUGCGGGUACUCGAGUGGCGAACGGGUGAGUAACACGUGAGUGAUCUGCCCCCAACUUGGGUAUAAGCCUGGGAAACUGGGUCUAAUUCCCGAUAGGACUGCAGGGUGGUGCCUGUGGUGGAAAACGAUUUUCUAGUGGUUGGGGAUGAGCUCGCGGCCUAUCAGCUUGUUGGUGGGGUAAUGGCCUACCAAGGCGGCGACGGGUAGCCGGCCUGGGAGGGGGGACGGCCACAUUGGGACUGGGUUACGGCCCAGACUCCUACGGGAGGCAGCAGUGGGGAAUAUUGCACAAUGGGCGGAAGCCUGAUGCAGCGACGCCGCGUGGGGGAUGACGGCCUUCGGGUUGUAAACUCCUUUCGACCGCGAGGAAGCCACCUGGUUGGAAGGGUGGUGACGGUAGUGGUAGAAGAAGCACCGGCUAACUACGUG
rnacentral:rRNA from 1 species